GACUGUCCAUCGGGCCUGCCUUCCCGGGAACCUCCGUCUCUCUCGCGCCCGCCCGAGGGAAGCGUGCGGAAGGGCCCGCGGUUACUGAUACCCCGUCACGUCCUGCACGCCAGCCUGCCGUCAAAAUGUAGGGCUGGAGCUCAGCCUCCUCCCGAGGGGGGCCGAGACCCUCAGGUCUGCUUAAACCAUCGUGGAGACCUUUCCCAAGCGUCACAAGUAUGUUAAAUUACCUCGUGAUGUCAGCCUUAUCAAUACUGAAUUGCAGGGGAAAAAAGUUCAAGCAGAAUUCAGAUGGAGUGAAGCGGAUCAUCCAUAGAGAGUUAUAAGGACAAACUCAACAAACAGCAUUCAAAUCUUCAAAAUCUGUUGUCUGCAUUAAGCUCAGGACUUAAAAAUGAUGCACCUUGUCCCAGCAGGGAGAUCCAGAAUUCCUUAUUUAGACUUAUAGGUUCAUUUUUACUGCUUAUGGAGGUACCUCUGAAGCAAUAUCUAGAAUGCUCAUAUGCGAAGAAGACCCAAAGGAAAGAAAGAAUAGCUGGGUAAAUCAACCAAGUUUGGGUCCUUCUGAAAAAAAGGCAGAGAAAAUUUGGUUUCAGUUUCAGUUCAUUACCUUAAGUUACACCUGUUUCCACCAUGGAGAAAUCCAAAAUCAUCCUGUGCUUCCAUGGAAAGGGAUGCUGUUUCAAAUUUUCACAAAGGCAAACCAGUUUAGGUAUGUCUUUGUCCUGCUGACCAUGGUUCAAACGCUUACCACCUCUUCCUGUUUCAAGAGCAAGGCUCCCACCACAGUUACAAUCCCCUGAACCUCUGCUGAAGUUGAUUCAAGACAGCUUGUCCACCUGGGAUACUCACAUGAAGAAAGCCUUGCUGUACCCUGACUGUGUAUGAGCUACUCCAUGCUCUUGCUUCUUCAGCAUUAUCUUAGAGCAUAUGGAGCAUGAGGUGAACAUCUGUAUGUUGAAGUAAAGUGAGGUUCUCCUGCUCCAUGCUGUGAAAGUCCCAUGUCUAGAACAGGACAGGUACACAUGCUGAGAUCACCUGCUACCUUGUGACGCACCA